rnacentral:lncRNA from 1 species
AGAGAGACUCUUGUUUUGUGCGGCUAGGGUUCUAGAGAAGAAGAGGAUUGGGAUCCUACUUCUUGUGCAAGGGGAAUUUUGUGUGAAUCUCUUGUAGAGCGAUCGCGUGUGAUCGUUCGGGUGUGUGCUAUCUCUGUAAUCUGUUCAUCCUAAUUGAGAUUUGGAGCGGUAGAGGACGUAGGCUACUUGUAGCCGAACCUCGUUACAUCUUUGUGUUUGCUUUGCUAUUUUCUUCCUAUUUCUUCUUCCUUUGGUUUGAUAAUCCGCUGCGGUGCUCAA